rnacentral:rRNA from 1 species
AGAGUUUGAUCCUGGCUCAGAUUGAACGCUGGCGGCAUGCUUUACACAUGCAAGUCGAACGGCAGCACAGGGAGCUUGCUCCCGGGUGGCGAGUGGCGCACGGGUGAGUAAUACAUCGGAACGUGUCCUGUUGUGGGGGAUAACUGCUCGAAAGGGUGGCUAAUACCGCAUGAGACCUGAGGGUGAAAGCGGGGGAUCGCAAGACCUCGCGCAAUUGGAGCGGCCGAUGCCCGAUUAGCUAGUUGGUGAGGUAAAGGCUCACCAAGGCGACGAUCGGUAGCUGGUCUGAGAGGACGACCAGCCACACUGGGACUGAGACACGGCCCAGACUCCUACGGGAGGCAGCAGUGGGGAAUUUUGGACAAUGGGGGCAACCCUGAUCCAGCCAUGCCGCGUGCAGGAUGAAGGCCUUCGGGUUGUAAACUGCUUUUGUCAGGGACGAAAAGGAUCGUGAUAAUACCAUGGUCUGCUGACGGUACCUGAAGAAUAAGCACCGGCUAACUACGUGCCAGCAGCCGCGGUAAUACGUAGGGUGCAAGCGUUAUCCGGAAUUAUUGGGCGUAAAGGGCUCGUAGGCGGUUCGUCGCGUCCGGUGUGAAAGUCCAUCGCUUAACGGUGGAUCCGCGCCGGGUACGGGCGGGCUUGAGUGCGGUAGGGGAGACUGGAAUUCCCGGUGUAACGGUGGAAUGUGUAGAUAUCGGGAAGAACACCAAUGGCGAAGGCAGGUCUCUGGGCCGUUACUGACGCUGAGGAGCGAAAGCGUGGGGAGCGAACAGGAUUAGAUACCCUGGUAGUCCACGCCGUAAACGGUGGAUGCUGGAUGUGGGGCCCGUUCCACGGGUUCCGUGUCGGAGCUAACGCGUUAAGCAUCCCGCCUGGGGAGUACGGCCGCAAGGCUAAAACUCAAAGAAAUUGACGGGGGCCCGCACAAGCGGCGGAGCAUGCGGAUUAAUUCGAUGCAACGCGAAGAACCUUACCUGGGCUUGACAUGUUCCCGACGGUCGUAGAGAUACGGCUUCCCUUCGGGGCGGGUUCACAGGUGGUGCAUGGUCGUCGUCAGCUCGUGUCGUGAGAUGUUGGGUUAAGUCCCGCAACGAGCGCAACCCU